GCCCAAUAGCUAGCCCACCCACCAAAAACAACAUACCCCUAUUAAUAACCCCACACACACUAAAUAGAAACAAACAAACCAUUUUUCCCCCUAAGUAUGGGCGACAGAAAAGGAACAUUGGCGCAAUAGAGAAAGUACCGCAAGGGAAAGCUGAAAGAGGAAUGAAAUAACCCAGUAAAGCUCAAAGAAGCAGAGACUAAGUCUCGUACCUUUUGCAUCAUGAACUAGCGAGAAUAACCAGGCGAAAAGAUUUUUAGUCUGAUGUCCCGAAACCAAGUGAGCUACUCCAAGACAGCCUACAACAAGGGCUAACCCGUCUCUGUGGCAAAAGAGUGGGAAGAGCUUUGAGUAGAGGUGAUAGACCUAUCGAACUUGGUUAUAGCUGGUUGCCUGAAAAAUGGAUAGAAGUUCAGCCUUUUAGAUUCUCCAUUCACAGCCAAGUCAGAUGCCAAGAAACUAAAAGAGUUACCCAAAGGGGGUACAGCCCCUUUAAGACAAGACACAACUUCUCCAGGAGGAUAAAG
rnacentral:rRNA from 1 species